CGUGUAGGCGGGAAUACAAGUCAGAUGUGAAAUACUGCGGCUCAACUGCAGAACUGCAUCUGAAACUGUAUUUCUUGAGUACUGGAGAGGAAAGCGGAAUUCCUAGUGUAGCGGUGAAAUGCGUAGAUAUUAGGAGGAACACCGGUGGCGAAGGCGGCUUUCUGGACAGUAACUGACGCUGAGACGCGAAAGCGUGGGGAGCAAACAGGAUUAGAUACCCUGGUAGUCC
rnacentral:rRNA from 1 species